UACGUAGGGGGCGAGCGUUGUCCGGAAUUAUUGGGCGUAAAGGGUGCGUAGGCGGUCUCUUAAGUCUGAUGUGAAAGCCCACGGCUUAACCGUGGAGGGUCAUUGGAAACUGGGAGACUUGAGUGCAGAAGAGGAGAGUGGAAUUCCAUGUGUAGCGGUGAAAUGCGUAGAGAUAUGGAGGAACACCAGUGGCGAAGGCGACUCUCUGGUCUGUAACUGACGCUGAGGCACGAAAGCGUGGGGAGCAAACAGGAUUAGAAACCCCUGUAGUCC
rnacentral:rRNA from 1 species